CUGAAACUGCUGGAGAAGAUCCCUGAGAAUGCCGAGGCCACGGUGGUCCUCGUGGGCUGCGUGGAGUUCCUCUCCCGCCCCACCAUGGCCUUUGUGCGGCUCCGGGAGGCUGUGGAGUUGGACGCAGUGUUGGAGGUGCCGGUGCCUGUGCGUUUCCUCUUCCUGCUGCUGGGCCCGAGUAGCGCCAACAUGGACUACCACGAGAUCGGCCGCUCCAUCUCCACCCUCAUGUCAGACAAGGUCAGCUACCCUCCUCCUCUGGGCCCUGCUUCCUGGAGCCCAUCCUAGGCCAGUCUUGAUCCCCAUGACUGCCUCCCACCCACUGGCCUUGCCCACCCUCAGCUCCAGGCCCUCAGCCCUCUUCUUUGUGCUCUCCCCCAUCCCCAUCCUGCUUUGGCAGCAAUUCCACGAGGCAGCCUACCUGGCUGACGAGCGGGAGGACCUGCUGACGGCCAUCAACGCCUUCCUGGACUGCAGCGUGGUGCUGCCGCCUUCA
rnacentral:sRNA from 1 species